UUUUGCCCAAAAAGGGGGUGUGAAAGUGUGCGAAAAAGUAUGAAUGAUGGUGUUGUAUGGCAUGAAAGAAAGUGUCUGACGAGUCACUGAGGCAAUUCAAUCAAUUUGCCAAAACAGCUGUAUACAAAUUUGAAUGUGGGCCCACAGGGCAAAUUUAUGCCCAGUAAAAUAAUGACCAUGGAUGAAUUUGGUUAAGUUUCCUGGUCCGAACCUAGGUCAUUGUUGUGGCAGAAAGAAAAACAGUGCCACACAUGCGCAGCGUAUAACAUAGGAAGGCAGAGCAGAGCAAAGCAAGCUUGCUCUGUCCACCCACAUCUAACUUUCUUUUCAGCAUAACAUUAUGGACCUUAUUCUGUGUCUGUCGGAUAAAAUAUUGUCUUUCUGACUGUUAAAAUAAAUAAAGUGGGUUGAGUUUUUUCUAGGUCAAAAGGCCUAUGCUACUGAGCAAGAUAGGCCUAGAUAAAGUAUCCAAUGAUUUAGUGGAACUCAGUUUACAAAACAAAGAGAUAACUGAAUAAGCAAAUUGUUGAGAAUAAAAUUGAAAUUAAUUAAAAAAUAGUAAGGACAGCACUGGAAUUGUGAAAGCUCAAAAAGGGGCCAAGACAGCCCUCAACCCACAUUACAUUUCCACAGGUCACACCAAGAAGGACAACUAGCAAGAUGAACAAAUUAGCAUGCUUGAUA